rnacentral:rRNA from 1 species
UACGUAGGGUGCAAGCGUUACCCGGAAUUAUUGGGCGUAAAGAGCUCGUAGGCGGCUUGUCACGUCGGUUGUGAAAGCCCGGGGCUUAACCCCGGGUCUGCAGUCGAUACGGGCAGGCUAGAGUUCGGUAGGGGAGAUCGGAAUUCCUGGUGUAGCGGUGAAAUGCGCAGAUAUCAGGAGGAACACCGGUGGCGAAGGCGGAUCUCUGGGCCGAUACUGACGCUGAGGAGCGAAAGCGUGGGGAGCGAACAGG